GGCCUGGACUCCUGUGAAUGAUGCAUGUCACUUUGACGGUUACCGUGCUAACUGCUGGCAUCAGCUGCGACUAAUGUUUCCUCCACGGCUGAGUGUGGUUGAAAUGAAGGUGGAGCCCAUCAAGGAGGGGGAGAGCCCAGCUGCCUAUCUGCAAGCUCAAGAAAAGCGGUGGCGCACUGAGACGGAGCAGGACCUGCAGAAUCCGGCAUUCAGAGAGAGGAGGAGGACUUUGCUAAAGAGCGUGAGAGGGAACUGACAAAGAAAUGGAAUCAGAUGCAGCUGGAGGAGCUGACCGCUAAAAA